GCCUUGGACUGGCAGGAAGCUUUGAAAAGAGUAAUUAAGUGACAGUAGUUGAAGCGCCAAUGUGUAUCUUCUGUUGCUCAAAAGAAACUGCUCGCUUUGCCAUCCGUGUGCAGUGUGGGAAUGUUGCAGGGGGACAUGAAAACAAAACACCGCUAUGCUGAGAAACUCGGUGUAAAGCCGACGUUUUUUAUAUUUUUGUAGGAAAGUCUACUGGUUUUCUGUAAUAUUACGUAUCUAGCCCAUUUACAUCUUUGUUACGUUUUAGUUUGACCUAGUAUGCUUUCUAUACUUACGUUACGUCAUAUCCUCUUAACAACAAGGUACGUUGAUUCCGAGUUGUGAGGAAACUAUGGUGGAUACCAGCCGUUCAUGCAGAAACGAGGGGCCAGAGGCUCUGGUGGUUUGCUCUCCAUGACCAAAGACUGGGUGAUGACCGUCGACUUGGAGAGGCAACAGAAGAUACCAUUAAACAUCAUCCAGACCACACUGUGACCUGAUACCUUAAGUCUCAGAGGCUACAAGGCAGCUGACACUGUUAGAGCUAAUGGUGCCCUGGGCAGAGAGGAUGGAGGAGGCUCAAGAAAGGAAGAGGGAGAAAUAUAACGAGCUGUAGAGGGCUGUCAGAGCAAGGGGCAGAUGACGAGGUGUAUGCCAGUGGAGGUGGGCAGUCAGGGAUUUGAUAGCCAUUUCCUGAAUAAGGCCUAUGGUAUCCUGGGUAUAAUUGGCAUCAGCAGGCAGCAGAGAAAGCUUCAAGAUGGCUCUGGCGAAAGAGGGGGGAGAAGUUGACGCCUGGACGGGGAUGUCCGUUGCAGGACCCAAAACACCCAGUGACACAAGGAAACAACACUGAAGAUAGUUUGCAUAAUGUAACUGAGUGGAAAUGUAAGUGUGUUUCUCUGGGUAACAAACAGGAGGUUGUGAAGGACAGCUAUUUUCUGCAUUUACCACAUAUAAAUGUGACAGUUUCUACAGCUGUUAGUUGCAAAAGAUUGGGCGAUGCCUUUUCACAAGUUUGGAUUCAAGUACUUUUGUAAUGUGUGUGGCGUCAGGACUACCUUGCCUUGCUGAUGAAGUUGUACGUGUGUGGCCAGUGGCAGAGCAGGUCAGUGGCUUCAACAUCGUGCACUCUGAUGUUCAUGUAAGUGAAAGACUCUGGGAAAAAGUUGUCGAUCUCUCUGGUCACAUUCAAAAUGUAGCCGACACUGAAAAACACACAGAGACACUUAAACCUAGAGCCUCGGCAGGGACUCUCUCGUGUGAUGAGAGAAUGGAAACCGAAGACAACAGCAAGAGCGCACAGAGCUACGGGAAACGUUGAAGGUGAAAACACUGACUUGUUUUUCUGCAGCUCCUCAAAGUUGGCUGCGUUCCACUCAGAACCCUGAAACCAGAUAAAAGGAGACUUUCAACUCAGGCCACAGAGGAAGAAAAGCAAAGGACCUUCACAGCCGUCUUCCCCAUUGCUGUCAACACAUGACUUGCAAAGGGGAAGUCACAGUCACGCACAACGUCCUGGUGAAAACUGAAAGCACACUUCCUUCAGUUUACUGACCAAGACAGAGCAAAGACUUCACAUGAUGAACUUUUAAUUAAACGCUGCUAUCUUGGAAGCCGAGCAGUCACUCACCAGGUCUCAUAUCAAAGCCUACUCUGGACUCUAGGGAAGUCUUCACCUACAGGAGAGCAGAGGAGAGAUGUGAUGUUGUCCAGAUCCUCAGUCCUCAUAAUGUCUCUCAGGUGCUCUUUGAUCAGCGCCUCCUUGAUAAACCUGUGUGUCACUCCAUACCGGCAAAACCAAGCCGAUGGUGCACUGAUCGCUGCAAAGAAGUGGUGAGGAACACAAAUUGAAGUCUAAAGUCCAGCUGAACAAGACUUUGUUAACCUGACCGGCAUGGUGGUUACACACACCUGUCUAAGUUGGGGAAAUCUAUGCCCAGCAGGAUGCUCUCAUGUUUGCUGCCAAGGGUCGAAACGACAAUCAGGUACCGAACUCUGGCAGGGUUGAUGGACUCCAACUGCACCGCCUGUAUAUGAGGGUGCAGAGGAUGUUUGAGACAGAAAAAGAGAGGCAACAAGCAACUGAUGCUCAAAAUCAAUGUUUUAUCUGUGCAACGCGUGCAGUUUUUUCUCAUGGUGUCCAUUCAUCUUAAUCAACUUGGCUGAUUGCACUAUUUUCCUUGGCCUUACUGGAAAAGUCACAACAGGGAAGUGAGUGUAAUGGUUUGAGGGAAAUCCAAAUACUGGCUACAAUCUACCUACAUGUAUGUUAUUUUUUAGCUCAUUAUCUGAAGAAAAUAUUGUUUCUUCAGAUAAUUUAAUUUGUUGUUUCUAAUGCCCAUUUAGAUGAUAAUGUUGGAUAAAUGUCUCUUCAUAAUUCAUCUUUCAGUGCAGCUGAAACAAUAUCGCACCCUCUCAAAUUAAGUUCACUUAAUCCUUUUGGACGUUUUAUAAAUAUGAUGACCUUCCAACUUCCAGUUAUAACUGUUCUAUUUUUACUUUGUUUAGUCUUCAAUGUCAAAUUUUACCUUUUGGUUACAUUUUGGUUACAUUUUGGUCAUUUGGUUCAAGCCUUUUUUUAUGAAUCGUUUUUGUUUCUUUUGAUGUCUUUUUUUGUCUAUGUUGUUAUUGGUUUUUCUUCCUCUAUUGUCUCUCUGUGUCCUUUACCUGAUAUUGUAGUUUUUGAUUGCCCCUCAAUGAUUUCUUGAGUAAAAUUACAGUUGUAUGUCUGCAUAUCUAUGUAUCUCAACACAUAUUGAGAUUUAAUGAUCUGAUGUGCAGCUUCAGAACAACACCAGUCCUUACCAGCUGGAUGGUAUCUUCUGGCCUGAGCUGCUCAAUCAUGGCAUGCAGAUGUCUGUGUCGAGUGUCUGAAGCUCCACCGCUAUGCUUCACUGGGGAAGAUGGAGUGGGAGGGGUCUCAUCAUGGCUGUCUACUUCCUCGCCUUCUUCUAGCAGAAGCACCGCCCCCUUCACGAGGGCAAAGCUCUCCCUGGAUGCAGACAGAAAUUCGUUAGUUUGUCAUUAAGUGGCCGGUUAUCGUUCUGUUAUGAGUGAAAUUAAAUGUCAGUUCAGAGAGGA